AGGAUUCUCCUAGUAACGGCGAGUGAACGGAGAUUAGCCCAUCACCGAAGCCUGUGUGUGUUUGCAUGCUAGGCAAUGUGGUGUUAAAGCUUGUACCUGGGAUCGUGUACCUACCCGAAGUCUAAAUCCGAUUGUGGCUUUGGAUUCAUUCCAUAGCGGGUGAAAGUCCCGUGCGGGUAGGACUCAUUCGAAUCACAUGGUCCUCAGAUGUGCAUGCUUUCGAGUCGGAUUGCUUGAGAAUGCAGUCCAAAGUGGGUGGUAAACUCCAUCCAAGGCUAAAUACUGGCACGAGUCCGAUAGUAGACAAGUACCGUGAGGGAAAGUUGAAAAGUACUCUGAAGAGAGAGUAAAUAGUACGUGAAGCCGAUUGCAGGGAAGCUGGUGGAGUCAAGCUUCGUGCUUGAGGGAUUGAUGCUGGGAGCAGGUGUGUGAUUUGGAUGUGAGGUUGGACGACUUGGAAUAAGUUGGGCGUGUUCUGAAUGCGCUUCAAGUCAUUCUGGGUAGAGUGUUAUGAGCCCUCCUCGCUUUCCUACUCUCAGUGUUGUAUUCUUCGCUGCACAGGCCACAGUCAAUAGGUGCAUGCGGUAUGAAGGCCUAACUGUGCUUCGGCGGGUGCAAGCUCUCCAGGUGCAGGAUGGCAGGUGCUGUCUUCGAGCCUAGUGUUCGUUGAUAGUUGUUGUGGUUUUGACCGGCUGGUCUUCAUACUGUAUUGUACUUAUUGCCUAUCAAUGGCGUAUCUUCCUUGGAAGUUGCGUUGUGAAGAACUGUGGCUCUGAGGUAGAC
rnacentral:sRNA from 1 species